UUGAAAAUACCAGUUCCCAUACGAUCACCUAAGAUAAGCAAUGACGAGUCUGGUCAGUACCUAGAUGGGUAUCCGCUUGGGAAUAUCAAGUGCAG